rnacentral:rRNA from 1 species
GACGAACGCUGGCGGCGUGCUUAACACAUGCAAGUCGAACGGAAAGGCCCUGCUUUUGUGGGGUGCUCGAUUGGCGAACGGGUGAGUAACACGUGAGUAACCUGCCCUUGACUUUGGGAUAACUUCACGAAACUGGGGCUCAUACCGGAUAGGAUCUCCUGCUGCAUGGUGGGGGUUGGAGAGUUUCGGCGGUUGGGGCUGGACUCGCGGGUUAUCCGCUUGUUGGUCUGGUAGUUGCUUACCAAGGUUGUGACGGGUAGGCGGCCUGGGAGGGUGACCGGCCACAUGAGGACUGAGAGACGGCGCAGACGCCAACGGGCGGCAGCAGUGGGGAAUAUUGCAGAAUGGGCGGAAGCCUGAUGCAGAAGCGCCGCGUGCGGGAUAACGGCUUUCGGGUUGAGAACAGCUUUCGCCUGAGACGAAGCGGGAGUGACGGUAAUGGGUAAAGAAGCACCGGCUAACUACGUG